GAUGAACGCUGGCGGCGUGCCUAAUACAUGCAAGUCGAGCGAACAGACGAGGAGCUUGCUCCUCUGACGUUAGCGGCGGACGGGUGAGUAACACGUGGAUAACCUACCUAUAAGACUGGGAUAACUUCGGGAAACCGGAGCUAAUACCGGAUAAUAUAUUGAACCGCAUGGUUCAAUAGUGAAAGACGGUUUUGCUGUCACUUAUAGAUGGAUCCGCGCCGCAUGAGCUAGUUGGUAAGGUAACGGCUUACCAAGGCAACGAUGCGUAGCCGACCUGAGAGGGUGAUCGGCCACACUGGAACGGAGACACGGUCCAGACUCCUACGGGAGGCAGCAGUAGGGAAUCUUCCGCAAUGGGCGAAAGCUUUACGGAGCAACGCCACGUGAGUGAUGAAGGUCUUCGGAUCGUAAAACUCUGUUAUUAGGGAAGAACAAAUGUGUAAGUAACUAUGCACGUCUUGACGGUACCUAAUCAGAAAGCCACGGCUAACUACGUG
rnacentral:rRNA from 1 species